UCCCAUCACAGCUUUAAACCACUGGCCACGAGGGAGAGAAUCCACUUCAGGCCUCCCAGAGCAAGAUCCAGUUGUUCCAGCAACUAAAGAAGGGUUUGUGUCCCCUAUUUGACACUCAAGCUGUCACACUUAGAGCCAAGUUCAUAUGCUCUAAAUCAGGUGAGCGAAGGAGAUAACCAAAUAUUCAAUGCUUCCAUGGUGAUUGAUCAGGAAAAGUAAAUUACA